CAUGGUGCCAGAUGGUUAUCAGAUUUGUUCUCUGUUGUUGACAACCUUGGCUCUCCACUGCUUUGGGCACUUCAGUUCUCAGUGUCUGUCCAGGAGAAAUGAGCUGAAGCACAAGAAGCUGCACUCAGAGGGAGAGGAGUACUUUUUUCUGCUGUGCCAUGGGGUCCCUCCCACAGGUGCUGCAGCAGGAUGGAUGUGCUGUCAGUGAGCCCGUGUGCAGCUGCAACAGGCUUGCUCACACAUGGCUUUUCUUUAGCAAGCUCCUCUCCUUGGAGCUUGGUUGACACCUUCCUACAACUUGGAUGACCCAACCCCUGCCCAGGGAGCAGAAACAAGGGAACGUUUUGCCUGAAUAUCCACUUUGAAAUAGACGCAGCAUCAGAGAUAUGCACAGGUAACAACUGAGGCAUGAAAUUCUAUGUUCCUGCUCAGAGGUGU